UUCAAUUUAUAGUCAAUCAUAUCAUCCUCGAUAAAUUCUUAUCCAAAAUUUUACUCAUAAUUCAGUUUACUUUUACAAGAAAAAGUUAGUGAGUUCAAUUGUUCAUUUUUUUUAAUUUUUUAUUUCACACAUUUCUCUCUAAAUCUUUGAUAACAAAUCAUUACGUAUGGAUUUGUGUGAUCAGAAUCUUUGUUAUAACAUGAAAUCAACUUACCAUGACUCGUCUCCCCUUUGACGGGGCAUGGUGCUUUUGAUUGGAUGCAAUGCAUGUAUAUACUGACAAAUAUAAUCUUUGUCUAUGUUUUAUCUACGAAUCUAAAAAUUACAAUAUUAAAUAAGGAUAUCAUGACUUUAAAUAAUAUUGUAGGAUCCAAAACAUAAAAAGAAACAAAUCAUUCAACCAAGAAGCACACAAGAUAUCUUAUCGUAGAAACUCUUGAAUGGGAGAAAAACUACGUAUUCCCUUCUCCGGACAAUGAUCAUGCACUAUAACUCGAUGUUCAUACGGUUACAAGACUCUUACAAUCAAAACCUAUCAUCUCCAUAAUGUACUGAUUGUGUAGAUCUAACUCAUAUCCAUAAUUCACUGUUUUCGUGCUUGAUCACCUUUCAGAUCCCCUUAGAACUGAUUUUACGACUUGAAGUCCAUUAAAGAUCUUGAUUUCUUCAAUAUGGUAGAAGAUAAUUUGCACUAAGAUAUGUUUUUGAGCUCUCUAGAGGAUGGAGAAUAGUUUUCUUUUGAGUAUAUUUAUAGAGGCGACACAUAAUAUGUUUGGGAAAGUGUGUUGGGCCUUUUCUAGGUGAACAAAACCUUAGUUGCGCAAUUUUCGACAUUGCAAGAUUUUGCGUCUCGCUCCCGUGACAAUCUUGCAAACUCUGUGACAAUUUGCAAGCUCUCGCCUUUUUCCCUUGACUCGCGACAUCUCGCGAAAUACCCGCGAGCUCUCUGUGAAAUUGUUAGCUCUCGAUAUUUUUUUGCGAGAUUCCGAGGUCUUGAUUAAAUUUCAAUACACAAUUUUUGCCCUCAAGAUCCCUCGAACUCCAUCAAUGAUGUAUCAAACAAGUAUUUCUUAACAUGAGCUUGCAUGAAUAUGCAUGAAAAUAUUUUCGAAUCCUUGUAAUUGAUUAGUAAAAUUCUCAAAUCACAUUAAAUACCAAUUAUAUAAACUUUCAUUUCCAUUUUUGAGAAGACUUUGUUUUGAAGAACUUUGCCUCGUUGCAAGGUUUAUAUGAUCUUUUUACAAUAUCUCACCCACAAAGUCAAGUGCCAAAACCCUAAAGCUAUACUCAUCACGUUUUUCUGUCCCUACCAUUGUGUAUGACAACUCGCAAUCACAAGGAACAUAAAAAAUAAUAUUAGACAAUAAUUAAAUGGUUAGUUUUGUCCCUAACAAAUAUUAAAAUCUUGGAUAAAUUAUAAAAAUGGUCCCUAUAAUUUUAUCGAACCACAAUUUUGGUCCCUACAUUUUAAAAAUUUUUGACUUUCACAGUGUAUUUUGAUUUUAUAGCCUAAUCAUUUCAAUUGGUAAUGUGUGUUAUAUUUUUGGCCUAAUUUUCACACUUUCCCAACAUUUACCCUCAUUUGAGAGAUAAAAUCGAUAUUUUUUUCCCAUUCACACACAAUUCCCAUUUUAAUUUAUCCAAUCCCACUAGAAAUUGACAAAAAAUGAGGCCACAUAUUAGGCAUGUGCUGAAAAUCCAUCAAAAAACAUAACUUACAUUAUAAAUUGGACUAAUUAGGCAAGAAAAUAAAAAUACAGGGUUAAUUUUGCCAGAUUUGAAAACACAGGGAUCAAAAUUGAAGUUGUCAAACUAUAGGGUACAUUUUUCAAAUUGGCCCAAAAAAAUUCCUUUGACUAUAAGCGGAACUUUAUCACCCUAUUUAUCAUAACUAGUUACAUUUUUUAGAUAGCCAGCUUUAAAUUAACAUUAUUUGUGAAUAUUUCAAAUGCAAUAUUAAAUAGAUAAUCUCUCUCAUAAUACAAGUAAAACGCCAAUAAAAUGUAUAUAGAACUGUGGUACAAUUCGAGGAGUCAGGUUUUAAAAACCUUGCUUUGCCAAAAUUUGAGACAUGAGCCUCCAAUUCCGAGUUCAAUAUUAGAACAUUUUUGCUCGAUAGGUUGAAAAGAAUAAUUGGAGGCAUGCAACUGUGAUACAUUUAACAUAAAGCAUUGAGCCAAUCUAGCUUCUUCUCUUCUUGUCAACUCUCAUAAUAUUUGCUAAGCUUCCCCUUUCCGUAAACUUGUAAACCAAAAACCUAUGCCUCUUAUGAUAGCAAAACCCAUAAUGUUUUUAAAUGUUCCGGUGCCUUAUUUCUGUCAAAGUUCUUAUCUCACUUCUAACUCUCCCAUUCUCCUGAAUCUCCAUGCUUUCGGUUAAGUAGCUCGACUUUUUAACAGCCACCACUUGGCCACUCAGUAACUUGGCUUUGUAAACUCUUGAUGACGCUCCCACCUCAAUGCAAUACACAUUAAUGUUAAGAUCUUCUGUGGCGUUGAGGAUGUCUCCAUACAGAAUUUUCCCAUCGAAGUUCCAAUUGGAAUAUAGAUUUCUCCUCUUGGUUGGGAUUCAUGUCCAUGUACAAUCCUUUUAUAUCUUCUUCGAUAAAGUGAAACAACCCCGACAACAAAAAGUAUGGAAACAAGAAGGCAACUGAAUUGGUGACGAUAAUGAUGACUACAAGAUAAUUUUGUUUCCUUUUGCCACUACUCUUGGUAGAUAAUGUGUUAUAUGCCAUCAAUCCGAAGAGAUCAUUCCAUAAGUUUUUGUUAUUAGCAAAGGACUCGGGAGGAAAAGAAUGAAAAAUCGGUUUUGACAUCGAGUUGAGCUAACUCAAAGAUCAAACUGAGCAACCAAAGCUAGCAAAAAUACGAAUAGAUAAAUGCUUUACAACAGGAGAAAAUAUCACGUUAUAGUCUAUUCCUUCCUUCUGAGCAUAGCCUUUAGCCACCAAUCUAAUUUUGAAUCUGACUCCUUGAGUAUCUUUCUUCUUGCCAUAUAUCCAUUUGCAACCGAUCGCUUUAUUUUUUUUAGGCAGUUGUAUUAACUCCCAAGUCUAAUUCUUGUGAAGCGAAUUCAUUUCUUCAUCCAUGGUCUUCUUCCAUUUUAAAUUUUCAGUACCCUAUACAGCAUAUUUAUAAAUACACGGGACUCCCUCAAUUACUAGAAGUGCAUACGCCACAAUAUCAGUAUUACGGCAGGUCUACGAACACUCGUUGUGGCCUACUACUCGUGAUGGAUUUGCUAGUUGUGAAGACUUGAGCCUCUUCUCAGAUCUGGUUGUAGUGUCAAUAUCAUCGAUUGCUAUCAGGAAAUCAACUGUCUAAACAUGAUCGGCACUAUGGUCUCACAAGCUCCACUGCUGGAUGGAUGUCGGACUAGAUUAUCUUCUCAGAAUUCUUUAUCAUCAUAGACUCAUCAAAUGUAACAUAUCAAUCCGCUAACAAUCUUCUUCAUUUCAUGACAUUAUAGUCUGUAUGCUUUUACCCCAGUGCUAAAACCUAAAGAUAGCUUUCUUUGCUUUGGGAACUCACCUUAUCUGUUCCUUUACAUGAAAGUAUGCAUGACAUCCAAAUAUGUGGCAGACUAUAUAAUCAGUAUACAUUUCCUACCAUACUCUAUAUGAUUUUUUCUUCAAUAGCUGUGGAAGGAAGUCUGUUGAUGGGUGUGCGGCAUAUUUAUUGCUUUAACCCAAAAUGCUUUUGCUCAACAAACCAGCCUUACACAUCACUACCGAAUUUAUCUACUAAGUGCGGUUUAUCCUUUCUACAACGCCAUUCUAUUGCGGCGUGCCCCUUAAUAUAAAGUGCCUGACAAUCCCUUCUUCGACAAACCAAAAAAGGAUCUGACCUGUAUUCUCUACAUUAUCAGAUAUGACUUCUUGAUCUUUAUACCAGUCUGGGUUUCGAUUAUCCUUCUCCCUCCAAGAAAAUCCAAGGACUCAUCCUUAUACUACAUCAUGUAUACCCAAACUCUUCUGGAAAAUCAUAACGAAGGUCAUAAAAUCUUGACCUCCUAAAGAUGCAUUUUUAGAGACCUAAAACAUCACAUAAUCAAGGAUCCCCUCCAUGCGAUGAAUUGCAAUGCCAAACUUCACCCUUGUCUGCUUGCCCAGCACAUAAUGCUUACAGAAUUUAAUUUUUUCAGUCUUCGCUCCUUUUAGAACUCCUUGACGUAUCAAAGUUUGCAAAGUUUUUUCUCUUGUAUGCCCCAAUCGCAUAUGCCAUAAUCUGGAAGUGUCUGAUCUAUCUGAACUGUUGGACACAACAACUCUCCCUGUGACAGUACUUCCAUCAAGAAAGUAGAGAUUUCCUUUACGAGUGCUAUUCAAAACAACAAGAGCACCACGAACAACUUUUAGAACUCCACCCUUAAGAUAAUCUUAUACCCCUUUGAAUCAAAAUCUCUCAAUGAAAUGAGAUUUUUCUUCAAAUCUGGUACAUAGUAAACAUAUAUAAGAACCUUGAUAGUUCCACUGAACAUCUUCAAUUUGAUUGGGCUGAUUCCUAUCGUUUUGCGUUGUCAUCCCCCAUUAGAACAACUCCUCCAUCGAACUCUUCAAAGUUUGAGAACCAGUCCCUGUGGGGACACAUUUGAUAAGAACAACCAGAAUCUAGAAUCCAUUGGCUAGUGGACAAAGAAACAGUAAAGGCAGAGUUAUCUUCCUUAACUGCAUCAUGGGCUGCGUUUGCCUUUGGUUCUUUGCUUUCUAUCUUUGAACAAUCUUUUCUCCAGUGGCCUUUCUAAUGAUAAUAUGCACACUCAUCUUUUGCAAGCUGUCGUCUCUUAGAUGAUUUUUCUCUUGAUUUUGAGUAAGACUUCCAUCUCCCUCCAGAUAUUCGAGUACUUGUCCUACCCUUUGUUGUCAAUGCAUUUGAACUUGAUUCUCGGUGAGCAUCUUGAUCCUUCUUUAUCACCUCUUUGUUCAUCAAAGCAUUAGAAACAUCAUUAAACUUAAUAUCAUUUUUACUAUAUACCAAGGUAGUAGUCAAAUGUUCAUAUGUGUUAGGCAAAGAAUUUAAUAACAAAAGAGCCUUAUCUUCAUCAUCAAUUUCAACAUCUAGAUUUUGCAAAUAAGCCAAAAUUUUAUUGAAACUAUUCAGAUGCUCGUUCAUGAAUGUACCUUAUUUGUCUUGGAACCGAAAGAGCUUCUUCUUCAGAUAAAGGCGGUUCUCAACGCUCUUAGUCAUGUACUUGUUCUCGAGUUUGUCCCAUAACUCCUUUGUUUAGAUCUCCUUCAUAACAAAGUAUUUCUGGUCUUUUGCAAGACAAAGUCUGAUAGUACUGCAAGUUUAGAUAUUAAGUUUCACCCAAUCCUUCUCUAACAUGUCAUCUAGCUUGGCCUCCAACGAAAGAUCAAUGCCCUAUUGAAUUAGGACAUCCAAAACUUUGCAUUGCCACAUGCCGAAAUUAUUUAUCCCAUCAAAUUUUUCUACUUUAAAUUUGGCAUUAGACAUCAGAGUCCUAUGCCUAGAGCUAUCGGAAGUACUAGUUGCAUUAUCUUCUGCCAUCUAAAAAAUUUAACUCCAUCCAAACUGAUCUAUAGGAUCAAAAUAUGUAAAUUCUGACCACACAGAUGAGUCUAGAAAGUAAGAAAAACUUAAGAAUGACUAAACUAGAAAAAUCAGAAACUUUUGGGGCCAAUCGGAGAACAAUAUCGUCUUCUCCGUUUAAAAAUGCGUACUGCGCGCCUACACUUACCUAUCUUCAAGCGACUCGUGUGGGCACGUUCGGAGUCUGAUUUCAAUGCGGUUUGAUGCUGGAGCUUCAUCUCGAGGAGAUGAACAAGGUGGUGUAAUCAGAAAUCAAUUUCAACCACUUUUAUAGAGAUCCGAAAUGCCGAUCUAGGCUCUAAUACCAAUUGUUGUGCUUGGAUACCAAAUAUUUUGCUGAAAAAAAAUACUGAUAACACACACUACCAAGUCCAACAAAAACACACAGAUUUGCGAGGUUCGGCAAUAUUGUCUACAUUUUUAGGUGGCAGUAAUUUUACUAUAUGAAGAGAUACAAAUACAAAUACAAAUAAGAUAAAUAAACUCUCACAAAUCUCAACCACACAAUCAAUCUCACAGCACUCUUUCUCAUUCAAAAUCACUCACGCUCACACAAUUUCAACAUCAACCUUUUCUCUCUCUUAUAGCCUAGAAUGGAGACUUUAACAGCUGCAAACAGAGACUUUGGAGCUGCUGCAAAUGGAGACUUUGAGCAGCUACAAAUGGAGACUUUGGACCAUCCAGAAGUUUGACAAAACUCAACAGAUCAAUGGGGGAGUGAUGCUUCUCUGAAGAUUAAGUUCCUUAGAUCAUUCACUCUUGUUGUUAACAAGAUUGCCUCUCCAAAAGAGAUGCUAUCUUUUAGCCUGGAUGAAAAAAAAGUUGGAGGGUGAGUGUUCAGAAGAAACCUAUUUAGCUGGGAAGAGGUAAAGGUGAGUAGACUUCUUCAUACUCUAACAAAUGCUCCACCCUUGAAUCAAAAUAGGGAGGAUGGUCUGCUAUGGAUAUAGGACCCCUCUUAUGGUUUCUUAGUAGUCCUUUUACAAUCAGUGGGAAAUUUGUUGGGCUCCUCUCGCCCCAAACUAGUCUCUAGCUAUAGAUAGUUUGGCGGAUAAAUGCCCUCCCCACUUCCAGUAUUUUAGUGUUUUUUGGUUGGCUUGCUUAUUUUGGGAAAAACAAAAACCACGAUAAAAAAAACCACAAAGAUAAGAUUAUUGAAUGGCAUAUUUUGUUCAUGACUUUAUCCACCAACACUCAUAACAUAAGGGGGGCCACCACUAGAACUCUUCACAACAAGUUUGACAAUCUGACAUUAGAAAUUAAGCAAACAAAGAAAUCACUCAUUGUCAUCACUCUCUCACAUCAAUGACCUUUAACCUCUGCAAUGUAAUUAUAACCGCGAAUGUCGUAAUUUGACACUACUAUGAAUUGCUGAAAAUAUGGUUGAAGGGGAAAUCCCACAUGAAAGUCUUCCGUUGGAUGAAUUACUAGUCUGGACCCAUCUUCAAAUUAACUUUAUGGGAAAAUACCAAUAAAAAUUGGAAUAUUAGAAGAUGACAAGAUUUCGAGUCAAAUUUGGAGGCUUGUCUGAUUUUAAGACAUCUAGACCUCUGACCUAGUAAGCUGUUGGAUUGGCUUCAAACUCUCCUAUUUAGAUUGGCUUUAAACUCUUUUAGAAUUGGAAUUAAAAGUUCUAGUUGGAUUUGAAUUCUAUCACUCAGCCUAUAAAAGAGAUUGCAAGUUCCAGAUAUAGGAUUAUGAGAUUAGAAGCGUAGUAUAAAAAAUCCAUUUUAUUUUCUUCUCUCUUAAACUCUGUGUUUUUGGUUAAGAGAGGAAAGCUAAAGUUCUAUUAUUAAUAAUGAAACUCUGCCAUCUGAGGACAUAGGCACUCUACCGAACCUCGUAAAUUAUUGUGUCUACGUGCGUGUGUUAUCUGUGAUUGUGGGUGACUGGUGUGAAUCAAUUUAUAGCACAACAAUUGGUAUCAGAGCCUAUGUCAGUUUCGAAC
rnacentral:lncRNA from 1 species